CCGUUAAAUCCCGAGCUAGUUUAGUACUACCAUUAUGGAAAGUUUAGUUUCGAAACAUGAUCCGUCUUUGUGAAUCGAGUCUAUUUGAGAGUCUUGCUUGUUCAUUAUUGAUAUUGAUUGUUAACUGGAAUUAGGAUAAUAGAGGAUUCAACGAUUGUGUGAAAUGAUUGAUGCUAAGAACUGCUAUAUAUAUGUAUAUACAUAGUUAUGAGUAGGGACUAUGUGAUGAGGGCGUGAGUUCAGAGAUGUCUGAGCUUCGACGCUACGGUGUGAUAUGGGCGUGAGUUCAGAGACGUUUGAGCUUCGACGCUACUGUUUGGGGCGUGGUGCAGAGACGUUUGCAUUCGACGCUACGAUGGGCGGGGGUACAGAGACAAACUGUACUAGCGACGCUUCGAGUAUAUGUAUAUAUCCGUAUGAGGAGAUGCGUGGUGCAGAGAGUAGCUAUGUACUAUAAGCGCAUGAGUUGUAACGGCUAGUCCUCUAGCCGAAUAUUGAUUAUUAUGUGUGGUGUAAUAGGCACCGUGUUUGUUUCAUGCUAGAGCUAGGCCUACAUUUUAGUAGUGCUAUGAACUCAGUCUGUGGUUUGCGGUUUAGCAUCCCAUACCUCGCUGGGCAACUCCCCUGUUGCUCACCCCUCCUUCUUUCCCCCUUUCAGGUGAGACCGACGAGCAGGAGUGAUUAUCGGACCGGUGCUAUUGGGCUUUUGGGCUUCUAUCGCUUUNNNNNNNNNNNNNNNNNNNNNNNNNNNNNNNNNNNNNNNNNNNNNNNNNNNNNNNNNNNNNNNNNNNNNNNNNNNNNNNNNNNNNNNNNNNNNNNNNNNNNNNNNNNNNNNNNNNNNNNNNNNNNNNNNNNNNNNNNNNNNNNNNNNNNNNNNNNNNNNNNNNNNNNNNNNNNNNNNNNNNNNNNNNNNNNNNNNNNUGAUCAGGAGGUUCUUAGAUGGGAUGCGAGUAGAGCUUCGUGGUAGGUGCAGUGUGGUUACCUACACCAGUUUGGAGGAUCUGGUAGAGAAGGCGGCUGUGCAGGAGAAAUGUAUGGGUGAGGAGCAGAAGUUCUCCAAAGCAGUUCAGCCUAAGGCAGGAGGGGCUUCGGGGUCGCAGAAGAGGCCUUGGGAGCAGACUGGAGCACCCCGUUGUGGGCGUUGUCGUCGCCACCAUUUUGGGGAAUGUUUCCAGUGCUAUAAUUGCGAUCAGUUUGGGCAUCUUGCGAAGAACUGUAGGAAGCCACCACGAACUCAGGUUGCAACACCAGCAGCAGCAGUAGCACCAGCAGUGGCAACGAGGAACUGUUACGGCUGCAACCAGCCGGGUCACAUCUACAGAGAUUGUCCGAGGAGAGGCAAUGCGGCACUUCCACCACCACCGAAGCGUCUAGCCAUCGCUCCACGUGUCUUUGCAGUUGGAGAUCCCCAGGGAGCUGAGCCGAUAGCGGGUAUGUUCUUAUCAUACUUGCUUGUGUUAAUAUUUGUGGUUUUGUGGUUAUCUUGUAUAGUUCGAGAUUUGUGAAUCUCGUGUAUGAUUGGUUGUGGUUGGUGUGAGUUACCUCACAGCUUAUUUGACUUAAGAGCUUUUCAUAGUUUUGUGAGUUCGCGUUUGGUUAAGUUUUAGUCUUUUUAGGGGGAUCUUCUAACCGAAAGAUAAGCAGAUUUAGAUUGUUGUUAUGGAGAGCUUGUUGUUAUGGAGAGUUUGAGAGCGAUCAGGAAUUCAUCGUGAUGUACCUGUUAUCAUUUGAGUAUUAUGAUGGCACCGUCGAAGUUUUAUGGUGGGUCUGGUCGUACACCACUUUGUUGGACCAAAGUGGGGGAGCAAUAUGAGUUAGAACUAUUAAUGGUUCAAGAGACGGUAGAGCAAAGGACAUGCUCAAGGAUUAGCUUUCGGAAGCCCAUGACGUCAGAGGAUUUAUGCAGCUAAGCACCGUGAGGAUUUGGAGCUACAUAUGGGCAUACCUUAAAAUAAGGACAUUUCAGGAGGGACCUAAGACUCAGAAGAUAAAGGAGCUUAAACCGAGACACAUGGAAUUGUAUCCUUCACUGGAGUAGAUUGGAUUAGUUGCUUGCUAUUACUUUAUCAGCAGUAUAUCAGCCUUCUAGGACUUGGUUCAUAUGACAGCAUUGCAAAAGUUGAGAAUGCGCUAUAAUUAUUUUGCAGUAGACUAAGUCAGGGUAAGAUGUCUAUCAGGGAGUAUGAGGUUGUGUUUAACCAACUUCGCAGGUUUGCUGGAGAGGGCAUUUUAGAGGAAGACCUGAUGAGGAAAUUUCUGAAUGGGAUGCGAGUAGAGAUUCGCAACAGGUGCCGUGUCGCCACUUAUCACAGAUUGGGAGACUUGGUGGAGAAAGCUGCCGAGCAGGAGGCAGGUUUGGCAGAGGAGCAGAAGUACACCAAGGCAGAUCAGCCUAAGUUUGGAGGGAAUUUAGAGGCACAACAGAGGACAUGGGACAAACCGAGCAUACAAUGCUUUUAUUGUGGAAAGAUGGGACAUAAGAGUAGGGUUUGUCGGAGUAGGCUAUUUGAUGCCCAGGUUGCGCCACCAGCAGCGGCAGCAGCACCAGUAGUGGAUGUUAGGAACUGUUUUGGUUGUAACCAGCCUGGUCACAUUUUCAGAGACUGUCCGAGGAGGGGUAAUGCAGCGCUUCCACCACCACCGAAGCGUUUAGCCAUCGCUCCACGUGUGUUUACGGUUGGAGAUCCCCAGGGAGCUGAGCCGAUAGCGGGUAUGUUCUUAUCAUACUUGCUUGUGUUAAUAUUUGUGGUUUUGUGGUUAUCUUGUAUAGUUCGAGAUUAGUGAAUCUCGCGUAUGAUUGGUUGUGGUUGGUGUGAGUUACCUCACGGCUUAUUUGACUUAAGAGCUUUUCAUAGUUUUGUGAGUUCGCGUUUGGUUAAGUUUUAGUCUUUUUAGAGGGAUCUUCUAACCGAAAGAUAAGCAGAUUUAGAUUGUUGUUAUGGAGAGCUUGUUGUUAUGGAGAGUUUGAGAGCGAUCAGGAAUUCAUCGUGAUGUACCUGUUAUCAUUUGAGUAUUAUGAUGGCACCGUCGAAGUUUUAUGGUGGGUCUGGUCGUACACCACUUUGUUGGACCAAAGUGGGGGAGCAAUAUGAGUUAGAACUAUUAAUGGUUCAAGAGACGGUAGAGCAAAGGAUAUGCUCAAGGAUUGGCUUUCGGAAGCCCAUGACGUCAGAGGAUUUAUGCAGCUAAGCACCGUAAGGAUUUAGAGCUACAUAUGGGCAUACCUUAAAAUAAGGACAUUUCAGGAGGAGCCUAAGACUCAGCAGAGGAUCAGUUAUCUAUCAUGUUAUUUUUGAGCUUGCUUUUGCCGGAGUGGAAAUGAGGCAUGGUGAUUAUGGACAUUGUUAUUGGAUUUUAAAUCACCAUAUGUGGAAAGGAUGCCACAUGGGUAGUCAUGGAUAGACUUACCAAGUCAGCCCAUUUCCUAAGUAAUUAAGAAGACAAUCAGAGCUAAUCAAUUGGAGCAGACCUACAUUAUUGAGUUUGGGAAGUUUCAUGGAUGUCAACAUUGUAUCGGAUUGGGAAUCGAAGUUCACAUCUACAUUUCAGAGAGCCUUUCAGAAGGCACUUGAGACAAAGAUCAUAUGAGUACAGCUUAUCACCCAUUGACAUAUUGUCAGUCAGAGAGGACUACUCAGAACUUAAAGGAUAUGUUCAGAGAUUGCGUUGGAUGGAAUUUCGGAAAGCAUCUACCUAUACCAGAGUUUGCCUACAUCGACAACUAUCUUUUGAGUAUUGAAAAACAAAAUUAUUAUAUGAGGGUUAUUUAUGGUAGACUUUAUAGUAUACCACUUUGUUGGACCAAAGUGGGGGAGCAAUAUGAGUUAGAACUAUUAAUGGUUCAAGAGACGGUAGAGCAAAGGACAUGCUCAAGGAUUGGCUUUCGGAAGCCCAUGACGUCAGAGGAUUUAUGCAGCUAAGCACCGUGAGGAUUUGGAGCUACAUAUGGGCAUACCUUAAAAUAAGGACAUUUCAGGAGGGACCUAAGACUCAGAAGAUAAAGGAGCUUAAACCGAGACACAUGGAAUUGUAUCCUUCACUGGAGUAGAUUGGAUUAGUUGCUUGCUAUUACUUUAUCAGCAGUAUAUCAGCCUUCUAGGACUUGGUUCAUAUGACAGCAUUGCAAAAGUUGAGAAUGCGCUAUAAUUAUUUUGCAGUAGACGUCAAGUGAGUUCAUAAAUAUUUUAUGGACUUUAUCAUCUAUUGAAGAUUUUGGAUCAUCAUGAGAAAACAGUUCCGGGAAUAUCGACUGUGUUUGUCCGAGUUCGUUGGGGAGGGAGAUAAGACUCAGGAGGAGACCUGAAAGGCCGAGCGAAGAUUAGUAUUCGAGGUUUUGCUAUGAUGACAUUGGGCACGUCAGCUUAUGACAUGAAUUCGGGGACGAAUUCCUUAUAAGUGGGGGAGAAUUGUAAUGACCCACCACUCCCACCAUCUCCACUUCUUUCUCCAACCCCACCACACCGCCAUGUUUUUGAGUUAAGUUUCGGCCGUUUUAGUAAAUCGACCAUAACUUUCUAACCGUAAUGAAUCUCGUGAAUCCAAGACUACCAUCAUGUUCCUCUCGUCGAGACGAAUCCGUGGCCACCAAAAACGCCUCAAUCGGAGUCCGGACGAAGCCGCACGCGCCUCCGGAAGUUUCGCCUCUGCGCGCGUGCAUCUUGUUUUUUUUGCUCACCUUUUCAGUAACAGAUUUAUCAUUUAUCUUUUCUUUUUGUAUUGGCAAUUCUUCUCAAAUAAUCUUUUUUUUACUAUUUUCAUAGAAAGUUAACUAUAUAUCCUCGUCAUCAUGCACCGUCUAUCCUCGUCGUAGAGUUUCAGUAGAAGUCCUGUCGGAUUGGAAAAGACGAUCAUUUAUAUUUUUUGAUUUCAAUGGAGCUUAAGAGAUUCAUGUACAUCUUGUGAACCAAUGUAUUCAUCACACGAUCGAAAACAACAAAGUUACCUGUUAUAAUAUUCCGUAUGUAUAAUUAACAUGUUAUCUGUUACAUUAUAUUUUAUCGUUGACAUUGUUCAUACUUAUCGCAUGAUCGUAAUUGUUAAUUAGAUCAAUAGUGGCUACAGUUUUUACGUAUAUGUGUUGAUGACGAUUUGUCACUGGUCUAUAAUUAAAGUUAAAUGUCAGUAAUUUCUUCUGAAGGGCAUAUGACAAAGGAUGAACCCAAUUUCGUUACACUUAUGAUAUUAACGGCUAACAAUCGUCUUAACUGUUAAAUCAAAUAUUAGUGGUUAUGCAUUACUAUACAUCCGAGUGAAACUAGAGAGGCUAGAGAAGUGUGAGAGUUAGUGAUUGUAUACAAAGCAUGUAAUCUCUAAGUGUGUUAGUAAAUAUAUUGUUAGUUAAGUAUUAAUAUUAUAUGCUAAUAAUAUAACAUAAAUCAAGUCUUUUAUUUUAGAUGAGCAUGAAUUAAUAUCUUCUUACACAUAGAUAAAACAAGUAACUAAGAAAAUGUUAGCUAACAUAAAUGUUAUCAAGAUGCCUCCAAGUUAACCACCACCUUUGGGACCAACGAAAGCCAAACGAUGUGUUUGAUGUUCUUAUUUGUCACUAUGAUGGCGUGACUCCCAACUUCUUCUCAUAUUUGUCAUCUUUGACGAACAUCAUACUGGUCAUCUAAACACAUAGAAUUGACAAAAUGGUGGCUAAGAAUUAUAUGUAAGAUGAAAAAUAAAAUGUUAAUCAUCACAACUAGGAGACAAGAAUUUGAAGUAUCCUUAUAACGUCUUUGUCCUUUCCUAUAGUUCUUCAUACAUGCACCAUAUUUUGAAGCCACUGACCAAAUAUGUGUGAACUAAAAGUCACAUAAAAUGUAACAUCUAACAAAACAUAUAUUAUUUAACUUAAACAUUUUUAGAGUAGCUAACAAACAAUACAUCAACUAACAACACCUAUUUAAUAAAAUCUUAACAACCAGUUAUUCAUUAGCCGCAACAUAUUUUGUAACAUCUAACUUAACAUGUAGAUGCUAAUGGCAACACAUGAUGCCUAUUUAUAGCAACUAUCCAAACAUGUGUAAGCACAUGGUACAUAUUUGUAGCUUCGAACAGUUACGCUAACUUAUUUUGUAGAAGCUAACUAAAUAUGUAUCAGUUAACAUUAUCUAUUUUGUGGGUUCUAAUCAGAAAAUAAAAUGUAACGACUAAGUAUGUCCAAAACUGCUACCUCGUAUGUUAUCUUUAAUGAACUUCGAAUGGUGAUUUGCCACACAUCGUUUGGAAUCAAGAUGACAGAGCUUGAAAUCAAUGUCUACAUGGUACUUACAGGUGAACAAGAGGAAGAGCCACAUCGUAAAAAAGUACUAUAAGCGCAUGAGUUGUAACGGCUAGUCCUCUAGCCGAGUAUUGAUUGUUAUGUGUGGUGUAAUAGGCACCGUGUUUGUUUCAUGCUAGAGCUAGACCUACAUUUUAGUAGUGCUAUGAACUCAGUCUGUGGUUUGCGGUUUAGCAUCCCAU
rnacentral:lncRNA from 1 species